UACGUAGGGUGCAAGCGUUAAUCGGAAUUACUGGGCGUAAAGCGUGCGCAGGCGGUGAUGUAAGACAGGUGUGAAAUCCCCGGGCUUAACCUGGGAACUGCAUUUGUGACUGCAUCGCUGGAGUGCGGCAGAGGGGGGAUGGAAUUCCGCGUGUAGCAGUGAAAUGCGUAGAUAUGCGGAGGAACACCGAUGGCGAAGGCAAUCCCCUGGGCCUGCACUGACGCUCAUGCACGAAAGCGUGGGGAGCAAA
rnacentral:rRNA from 1 species